GGUAGCCUGGCCGAGGGAUCUAAGGUGCUGGAUUUAGGCUCCAGUCUCUUCGGGGGCGUGGGUUUGAAUCCCACCGCUGCCA
rfam:Danio rerio chromosome 4, GRCz11 reference primary assembly.